rnacentral:rRNA from 1 species
UACGUAGGGCGCAAGCGUUGUCCGGAAUUAUUGGGCGUAAAGAGCUCGUAGGCGGCUUGUCACGUCGGCUGUGAAAUCCCACGGCUCAACUGUGGGCUUGCGGUCGAUACGGGCAGGCUAGAGUUCGGUAGGGGAGACUGGAAUUCCUGGUGUAGCGGUGAAAUGCGCAGAUAUCAGGAGGAACACCGGUGGCGAAGGCGGGUCUCUGGGCCGAUACUGACGCUGAGGAGCGAAAGCGUGGGGAGCGAACAGG